rnacentral:lncRNA from 1 species
CUUACACACCAGCAAGGGACUAUGAGCUCUACAAAUAUAAAAGCUGCUUCCUUUCAAGCCUUUGCAACCUUAUCAGCACUUGGGACAGAGUUCUGCCCACAGUUACCAAUUCUGUGUGGAAUAGGAGAAGCCUGCUCCAAGCCCCAGGGGACUUUCCCAAAUUACGGUGGCCCCAUUCAGGGAUUACAAGCCUGUCCCUUAAUUGAUGCCAGAAACCUCGUAACCUCUUCCUGUGAAAAGAAAUCAAUGGGCAUAAGAAGAAAGGACCAGAGCCGAGGAUCCCUCCUAGCUCUUCCCAAUCAGGCCUCACAUCUGCUGGUCUUUGACGGAUUUUUCCUCUUCUAAAGCCUCCCGGUGGAAGCCCUUGGAGAAAUCAAUCACUCAGCCUCCCCCUCCAUGGGCCGCGAGAUGGACAGAAGGAGGGUUCAAUGGGGAUUUUUAUAAAUUUCAUCAAUAUGAGCAAGAAACAGAAGCCGGAACAGCUUUAUUGAUUUAAACAUUAAAAUAACAUCUGCUUUCUUUGC